UGGGGAAUAUUGCACAAUGGGCGCAAGCCUGAUGCAGCCAUGCCGCGUGUAUGAAGAAGGCCCUCGGGUUGUAAAGUACUUUCAGCGAGGAGGAAGGCGGUAAGGUUAAUAACCUUAUCGAUUGACGUUACUCGCAGAAGAAGCACCGGCUAACUCCGUGCCAGCAGCCGCGGUAAUACGGAGGGUGCAAGCGUUAAUCGGAAUUACUGGGCGUAAAGCGCACGCAGGCGGUCUGUCAAGUCGGAUGUGAAAUCCCCGGGCUCAACCUGGGAACUGCAUUCGAAACUGGCAGGCUAGAGUCUUGUAGAGGGGGGUAGAAUUCCAGGUGUAGCGGUGAAAUGCGUAGAGAUCUGGAGGAAUACCGGUGGCGAAGGCGGCCCCCUGGACAAAGACUGACGCUCAGGUGCGAAAGCGUGGGGAGCAAACA
rnacentral:rRNA from 1 species